rnacentral:rRNA from 1 species
GACGAACGCUGGCGGCGUGCUUAACACAUGCAAGUCGAACGGAAAGGCCCUGCUUGCCGGGUACUCGAGUGGCGAACGGGUGAGUAACACGUGGGUGAUCUGCCCUGCACUUCGGGAUAAGCUUGGGAAACUGGGUCUAAUACCGGAUAGGAACCAUCUUUAGUGUGGUGGUUGGAAAGUUUUUUCGGUGUAGGAUGAGCUCGCGGCCUAUCAGCUUGUUGGUGGGGUAAUGGCCUACCAAGGCGGCGACGGGUAGCCGGCCUGAGAGGGUGUACGGCCACAUUGGGACUGAGAUACGGCCCAGACUCCUACGGGAGGCAGCAGGGGGGAAUAUUGCACAAUGGGCGCAAGCCUGAUGCAGCGACGCCGCGUGGGGGAGGAAGGGCUUCGGGUUGUAAACUCCUUUCGCUAGGGACGAAGCUUUUUGUGACGGUACCUAGAGAAGAAGCACCGGCUAACCACGUG